GACGAACGCUGGCGGCGUGCUUAACACAUGCAAGUCGAACGGAAAGGCCCUGCGUUUGUGGGGUGCUCGAGUGGCGAAAGGGUGAGUAACACGUGAGUAACCUGCCCUUGACUUUGGGAUAACUUCAGGAAAGUGGGGCUAAUACCGGAUAGGAUCUCCUGCUGCAGGGGGGGGGUUGGAAAGUUUCGGCGGGUGGGGAUGGACUCGCGGCUUAUGAGCUUGUUGGUGGGGUAGUGGCUUACCAAGGCUGUGACGGGUAGCCGGCCUGAGAGGGUGACCGGCCACAUGGGGCCUGCGAUACGCCCCAGACUCAUACGGGGGGCAGCAGUGGGGAAUAUGGCACAAUGGGCGGGCGUGUGAUGCAGAAGCGCCGCGUGCGGGAUGACCGCUUUCGGGUUGUAAACCGCUUUAGGCUGUGACGACGCGUGAGUGACGGUAAUCGGUAAAGAAGCACCGGCUAACUACGUG
rnacentral:rRNA from 1 species